CCUACGGGGGGCAGCAGUGGGGAAUAUUGGGCAAUGGGCGAAAGCCUGACCCAGCAACGCCGCGUGAAGGAAGAAGGUUUUCGGAUCGUAAACUUCUAUCCUUGGUGAAGAUAAUGACGGUAGCCAAGAAGGAAGCCCCGGCUAACUACGUGCCAGCAGCCGCGGUAAUACGUAGGGGGCAAGCGUUGUCCGGAAUGAUUGGGCGUAAAGGGCGCGUAGGCGGCCCGGUAAGUCUGAAGUGAAAGUCCUGCUUUUAAGGUGGGAAUUGCUUUGGAUACUGUCGGGCUUGAGUGCAGGAGAGGUAAGCGGAAUUCCCGGUGUAGCGGUGAAAUGCGUAGAGAUCGGGAGGAACACCAGUGGCGAAGGCGGCUUACUGGACUGUAACUGACGCUGAGGCGCGAAAGUGUGGGGAGCAAACAGGAUUAGAUACCCGGGUAGUC
rnacentral:rRNA from 1 species